GACGAACGCUGGCGGCGUGCUUAACACAUGCAAGUCGAACGGAAAGGCCCUGCUUUUGUGGGGUGCUCGAGUGGCGAACGGGUGAGUAACACGUGAGUAACCUGCCCUUGACUUUGGGAUAACUUCAGGAAACUGGGGCUAAUACCGGAUAGGAGCUCCUGCUGCAUGGUGGGGGUUGGAAAGUUUCGGCGGUUGGGGAUGGACUCGCGGCUUAUCAGCUUGUUGGUGGGGUAGUGGCUUACCAAGGCUUUGACGGGUAGCCGGCCUGAGAGGGUGACCGGCCACAUUGGGACUGAGAUACGGCCCAGACUCCUACGGGAGGCAGCAGUGGGGAAUAUUGCACGAUGGGCGGAAGCCGUAUGCAGCAACGCCGCGUGCGGGAUGACGGCCUUCGGGUUGUAAACCGCUUUCGCCUGUGACGAAGAGUGAGUGACGGUAAUGGGUAAAGAAGCACCGGCUAACUACGUG
rnacentral:rRNA from 1 species